GGAUCAUAAUAUCUUUGAAAGUUUUAGCUGCAAUUGUUUACAUUAGUAUGCAUCUAUUUUGUGUUUCAGUGCUGAAUGUCCAAGACGAUCACAAAUUUGAGAGUAGUGCUGGUUUAUUGGAUACUCAUGUUUCUACUCCUCAAGAUCAAGGACUAUCCGGUAGAAACUUCUUCCCCUUCUCACACAUACUACCCUGUAAAUAACAGGGACUCUGCAGUGUCCUCUGAAGCUUUUUUGGUGAGAGAUCAAACUUCAGAUGAUGUCGAAAAUGGUUUGUCUCAAAACAGAGCAACAUUUAGAAUGAGUGCUCUGUAGGUAAGGAGAUUGAACUUUUAUAUGUGUAUAUAAUUAUAUUGUAUUCAGCUCAGUAUUUGGAAUCCUUCUAGUUCAUUCAAAGUGUUUCAUAUUGUAGAUAAGUUCCCUUCCUUGAUGCCCAAAUCAAGCACCGGUAUACAAGAAAACUCUAGCAGUUUGCUGGAUGUUUUUGCUAAUCUAAGUUCCGGAAAUAUGACUUCUGGACUCAGUUCAUCAACCAGUAAUCCAUCUGCGAAUAAUUCACAAGGUUCUCUAUUCGGUGCUGCCAGUAAAUCUUUUGUGCCUUCUGUUGGAGACUGCCACCUUCACCUAGAAAGCAACACGUGCGAGACACAGAAUCGGGAAGCUCCUACUGUCUCGGUUAUGUUUAUAGUGUAUGAAAAUGUGCUAAAUAUGUUAAAACUGCCUCGAUUAUUAUUAGAGUUUCAUUGUUUUGAACUCGUGUGAUCUUUAUUCACAUGCA